UGUAAAAACCCCAGCCAGAAGAGGUACAGGUUUAUCCACUCUACCCUGAAGCCAGGACAGGGGAGAGCGAAGUAUGACUGAAAGGCCGGACUGAGCCAAGAGAAGAGAUAGCUGUGAGUUCUCCAGGAAGGAAGUAGUGGACCCUCUCCAUCCGCCUUUCCUCAUCCAAAUCCCUGGCAGAACACCAGCAGUGGCCCAGGGAAAGAGAAUGGAGGCUGUGGAAAAAGAAAAAUAGUCUGUAGUCCACUUUAUUCUGCAGAAUGAUGGAAUGUCAGCUGCCAAGAAAGAUAGUCCAGAAUGGUAAGAUAUCAGCAGUGAAACCUCUGACACUAUCCUGACUUGGUGUACCAUGAUAGGAGGAAAUACCAGAUAGAAGGAGAAAAACUACAGUUCCCACAACUCUUGAGUUCCACUGCACAGGAAAAGGGUCAGCAGGAGUGUAUAAACCAGUAAGGCAUCUGUAAUCCUUUGCAGCGUCAGGGCAAUGAUGAGGGCAGGGCAACCAGACUAAGAGCCUGGAGAAAGAGGAUCAGGCUGAGAGGGCUGGGGAGUCUGGCAUUAGGCCUGAUAGCGAAAAGAGAGUUAGCUUGGUGGUUACUUGUAACAAAAAUAUACAAUGUAUUUUUUGUCAUGGGUCUGAUUUCUGAAAUAUAAUAAUUUAUUGUC